CCUACGGGAGGCUGCAGUGGGGAAUAUUGCACAAUGGGGGAAACCCUGAUGCAGCGAUGCCGCGUGGAUGAAGAAGGUUUUCGGAUUGUAAACUCCUUUUAUCAGGGACGAUAAUGAUGGUACUUGUAGAAAAAGCUCCGGCUAACUACGUGCCAGCAGCCGCGGUAAUACUCAGGGCGCGCGAGUUGUCCGGAAGUACUGGGUGUAAAGGGAGCGUAGGCGGGACGGCAAGUCAGAUGUGAAAACUGAGGGUUCAACCUGCAGACUGCAUUUGAUACUGCUGUUCUUGAGUGCAGUAGAGGUAAGCGGAAUUCCUGGUGUAGCGGUGAAAUGCGUAGAUAUUAGGAGGAAUAUCGGUGGCGAAGGCGGCUUACUGGGC
rnacentral:rRNA from 1 species